GACGAACGCUGGCGGCGUGCCUAAUACAUGCAAGUCGAGCGAGACUCUUCGGAGUCUAGCGGCGGACGGGUGAGUAACACGUGGGCAACCUGCCUGUAAGACUGGGAUAACACCGGGAAACCGGUGCUAAUACCGGAUAAUCCUUUUCCUUUCAUGAGGGAAAGCUGAAAGUCGGUUUCGGCUGACACUUACAGAUGGGCCCGCGGCGCAUUAGCUAGUUGGUGAGGUAACGGCUCACCAAGGCGACGAUGCGUAGCCGACCUGAGAGGGUGAUCGGCCACACUGGGACUGAGACACGGCCCAGACUCCUACGGGAGGCAGCAGUAGGGAAUCUUCCACAAUGGACGAAAGUCUGAUGGAGCAACGCCGCGUGAGCGAUGAAGGCCUUCGGGUCGUAAAGCUCUGUUGUUAGGGAAGAACAAGUAUCGGAGUAACUGCCGGUACCUUGACGGUACCUAACCAGAAAGCCACGGCUAACUACGUGCCAGCAGCCGCCGUAAUAC
rnacentral:rRNA from 1 species